CGUUACACACCGCCCGUCACCAUCACGAAAGUUGACUGUUACCGGAAGCCGGUAGGCUAACCCGCAAGGGGGGCAGCCGUCCAUGGUAUGGUGAGCGAUUGGGGUG
rnacentral:rRNA from 1 species